GCAGACUGGAUUUUUGCCUGACUACGGUGCUCAGCCUUCUAGACAAUAGUUAUGCUAAGGGAUUAUCUUUUAACAUUGUGCAGUUAUCUCCUUUGUUUGUUUUCUUUUUUCAUUAUUCACAUAAGCCAAGGGAAAUGAAAAGCAUCUUAUUUCAGGCAAAAAGGCCUGUGAAUGAUUAACUCUGGUUCCAUGCGUUGGGACUUUGCAUAGCAACCCCGUGGCUUGCAACGACAAAAAAGCUCAAGGCAGGAACAGCAGCCCAGGGACCUGAGACCAGCGUUCUCAAAUGAAGGUGAUCUGCUGUUAGAGGAGAAUUCUUCUGUCCUAGCUGUGUCUCUGUGAUCUGUGGAUGAGGGUGGGAAAGCACCACUCAGUCAAUUGGGGUGUACAAAAUGGAGUUUGAGAAGGUCUCACAUCCAGGUUGUUUUGAAGCAAAGUCCAAGCAUUGUAUCACUUCAUCUGCAAAUAUUUCAAUAAGUACCCAAAAGUGGUUGGACUGAGUCCCAUGAAGCCAGAUCACUUCUGACUGCAAGGAGCUUGGAAAAGCAAGUAUCUGGAUCUUUUACCAGCUAAAUUUGGAGAAUUAUUGAUCAAAUUUGGAUCUCUGUGUGCUGUCCUCCAAUUUAAUACUUUCUGUGUUGCUGUUUUAUUUUCUUUCUUCUGGAACCUGGCAAAGUGCGUCAAGCGAUGAGGCUUCCUCUUUGAAGAUCACAGGUGAGAAGAUUAGGUGCUUUCUCAGAAGCCCAGCAACCUGAUGGGAGUGUGGAGUGAGCAAGACCCAAAUCGGAGCUUCAUCCCUGCAUGGUUCAUUUUGCUUAUUUGGCAAACUUGCCCUGCAGAAUCUACUCAAGCUUCCUCAGUUUCUCAAAUCAUUCUUGGGCAACAAAUGAACAAGAAAGAGGACGUCUUAUUAUCUGGUGUCUGGCUUGCUGAUUUAAUAACCUAGGAGACAGUGUUUGAAGAACACAAACUCUAAAGUCCUUCACUUAAAAAAAAAAAAAAACUUUCCCAAAUUGCUUACCAUUUGGAAAAAUUGCCUUACCUUCUUCAGUCAUCUCUGAUGUUGUCAUCCUCAGAGUAAGAAGUACGCAUUCAUAAGGAACCAUAACGUCCUUCAGGAAAUCCAGUACACCCUACAAUUUUACCUAAAACUUUGAUGUUGUUUUUUCUGAGCAUUUUACCUUCUAGGGAAAUGGAUCUCAUGCUGUUUAUCAGUUUCUGAAAGUUGUUAUUAAUCUCCCCUCAUCCCAAAAUUGAAGAACUUUGCUUAAAUCUUAGAAUCAGAACUUUGGCUCCAGUAAUAAAGACUUUUCAAUAUCUU
rnacentral:lncRNA from 10 species